rnacentral:rRNA from 1 species
GACGAACGCUGGCGGCGUGCUUAACACAUGCAAGUCGAACGGAAAGGCCCUGCUUUUGUGGGGUGCUCGAGUGGCGAACGGGUGAGUAACACGUGAGUAACCUGCCCUUGACUUUGGGAUAACUUCAGGAAACUGGGGCUAAUACCGGAUAGGAGCUCCUGCUGCAUGGUGGGGGUUGGAAAGUUUCGGCGGUUGGGGAUGGACUCGCGGCUUAUCAGCUUGUUGGUGGGGUAGUGGCUUACCAAGGCUUUGACGGGUAGCCGGCCUGAGAGGGUGACCGGCCACAUUGGGACUGAGAUACGGCCCAGACGCCUAAGGGAGGCAGCAGUGGGGAAUAGUGCAAAAUGGGCGGAAGCCGGAUGCAGCAACGCCGCGUGCGGGAUGACGGCCUUCGGGUUGUAAACCGCUUUCGCCUGUGACGAAGCGUGAGUGACGGUAAUGGGUAAAGAAGCACCGGCGAACUACGU